rnacentral:misc_RNA from 1 species
AGUCGGGAGAAGGCAGCGUGUGGUACCAGAGGGAGAUCGCUAUUUCUGCCAAGAAGCGAGGAUGUCACCUCAUCACGGACGAUGUCCUCCAUCAAGUGCCGGAAAUACAGAAGAUCAAGAUCGGAACCGCCAAUGUCCACAUUAAACAUACGUCAGCAAGCUUGUGUCUAAAUGAGAACUGGGACCCAGAUGUCAGGUUAGAAUACAUGUACAUCACAACAAGAUCAGUAACUUGACCAGAAAUGUGUAGUGUACUGUUGAAUCAGUAGAUUUUGUGGUGGCUCAAUUUUUGUGGUACGUGGGCAGCCCUCCCUCGGAAUAUACAUCUUCGACGAAAAUAGAUUUUGAAAGAGUUAUUUUUCUUACUUAAACUGAAAACUGACACAUCCAUGAAAUUAAAUCCUGACAAAUAAGCAAAAAACCCACAAUCCAUGAAAAUUAGCCCCAACAAAUUUAAAUGAUUCCACAGUACAUGUAUAUUAAUAGAUAUAUGACUUAUGAAAAAUUAUGAAACCUGUUUUUCUCUCUCUCUCCCACUCAAUCUCUCUCUCAUAAAUUUGAAGAAAAGUUCUCAUAGAUAUUACCUGCACAGUUGUUUUAAUGAUUAGAUGAUUCAUCCAAUGCAUAAACUUUUUUUUUAUCCCAUCCAAGGCAGAAUGGAAAAGAAAUCUUUAUUGGCGUCAUUAAUCAUGUGAGGUUUUCAAGGCACAAAAUACAUGUACUGUACAUUAAUCAAUUCAAUUUUACACGUUUUUAACAAUUGUCACAGAAAUUCAUAAUGACAUCAUCACAGUUUAAUUCACCACUGAUGGGAGGGCUUAGUAAAUUUUAAUUCUUAUGCGUAACUCUCUUUGGUCAAGCAACCACUUUAAUGCAAUACUUUGUAAAACCAACUCAAUGAUUAAAAAAGAAUCUGAUAAAAGACCUUUCUACUAGUAACCCUUGGUUGAUGACUGUUGCAGGGUGGACAUGGAGAUGAUGAUGAAUAAACUGAUUCCUGAGAGUACUCCUUUUAAACACAGCUGUGAGGGCCCAGAUGAUAUGCCAGCCCAUGUGAAGGCGGCCUUCAUCGGGACAGGGGUCACUAUUCCCAUCAGUAACGGAAAGUUCAACCUGGGAACCUGGCAAGGACUGUGGCUGUGUGAACACAGGAACUCCGCAGGUCAGUGAGGGUCAGCUAGUGAACACAGGAACUCCGCAGGUCAGUGAGGGUCAGCUAGUGAACACAGGAACUCCGCAGGUCAGUGAGGGUCAGCUAGUGAACACAGGAACUCCGCAGGUCAGCUAUAACAGUAGGUUGUUAUUACUGGAGGCUUAAAAGAGAAUUGAACAAUCCUCAUAUUACUGAGCAUAGGUGCGAGUUGAAGUUUAGAAUAUGAAAUCACUUAUCUCAGAUAAUAUAAAUGCCUAAAGAUGCAUUAAAAAGAGAGAGGAUUCUGGUGGGAUAAUUCUACACACAAUGGUUCUGUACACGGAUGCUGCACCAGACUUGUUAUAAUAUCUGUCAAACAUAUCUUUGGUUUUAUUGCUCAGUCAAUGUACCGGUAAGUGGAACGUGGUUGCAGGUUCAAAUUCAAACUUUUAUCUGCUAUGUACCAAGCCUUUAGAAUUUUAUUUUGUAGAUGUUUUGUAUUAAUUUAUCAAAAUACCGGUAUUCUCUCUUCAUUUGUUUUCAUUACUAAAAAGACAACAGUUGAUUUAAUUUUUUUUCUCCUUUUUUUCAUCAUCAAGGAAAGAGAACUCUUGUUGUGACAGUGAAUGGUUGUCCUCUGCGAUGAUCUGCCAUCAAAUGGUGCUGAUAUUUAUAGCUACCGUGGUAUCAGUGUGGUUGGACACAGACAGACUUUUUGUAAGGAGUGUUGACACAGGAUCUGUGAUAUUGUUAUUGUUCAAUGUUUGUGGUAUCAGGACGGAGUUGAAUAUAAAAUCUAUAUCUCAGGUUUUAGUUCUUUAAAGCACAGUUAAAUAGUUGAUAGUAUUAUCUGCCUAAUCUAAGAGUUUAGCACACAAAAAAUCUCAAUACCAGUAAAUAUUUUUGUUUUGUUGUAUUGACUGAGUGUACAAUAAAAUAGUAUGUUGAAGG